rnacentral:rRNA from 1 species
CCUACGGGAGGCAGCAGUGGGGAAUUUUGGACAAUGGGCGCAAGCCUGAUCCAGCAAUGCCGCGUGCAGGAUGAAGGCCUUCGGGUUGUAAACUGCUUUUGUACGGAACGAAACGGUCUGCUUUAAUACAGUGGGCUAAUGACGGUACCGUAAGAAUAAGCACCGGCUAACUACGUGCCAGCAGCCGCGGUAAUACGUAGGGUGCGAGCGUUAAUCGGAAUUACUGGGCGUAAAGCGUGCGCAGGCGGUUAUAUAAGACAGAUGUGAAAUCCCCGGGCUCAACCUGGGACCUGCAUUUGUGACUGUAUAGCUAGAGUACGGUAGAGGGGGAUGGAAUUCCGCGUGUAGCAGUGAAAUGCGUAGAUAUGCGGAGGAACACCGAUGGCGAAGGCAAUCCCCUGGACCUGUACUGACGCUCAUGCACGAAAGCGUGGGGAGCAAACAGGAUUAGAUACCCUGGUAGUCCACGCCCUAAACGAUGUCAACUGGUUGUUGGGUCUUCACUGACUCAGUAACGAAGCUAACGCGUGAAGUUGACCGCCUGGGGAGUACGGCCGCGAAGGUUGAAACUCAAAUGAAUUGACGGCUGAGACGNGCGAGCGACGACGAGGGAGGAGG